rnacentral:rRNA from 1 species
AGAGGUUCGAAGGCGAUCAGAUACCGCCCUAGUUCUGACCGUAAACGAUGCCAACUAGCGAUCCGCCGAUGGAGAUUAUAUUGCCUUGGUGGGGAGCUUCCCGGAAACGAAAGUCUUCCGGUUCCGGGGGAAGUAUGGUUGCAAAGCUGAAACUUAAAGGAAUUGACGGAAGGGCACCACCAGGAGUGGAGCCUGCGGCUUAAUUUGACUCAACACGGGGAAACUCACCCGGCCCGGACACUGUGAGGAUUGACAGAUUGAUAGCUUUUUCAUGAUUCAGUGGAUGGUGGUGCAUGGCCGUUCUUAGUUCGUGGAGUGAUUUGUCUGGUUUAUUCCGAUAACGAGCGAGACUCUAACCUACUAAAUAGCUGAUACAUAUUUUUGUGUAUUCGGCUUCUUAGAGGGAUUUGCGGUGUUCAGCCGAAAGAAAUUGAGCAAUAACAGGUCUGUGAUGCCCUUAGAUGUCCGGGGCUGCACGCGCGCUACACUGGCAAAAUCAACGUGCUUGUCCUGCCCCGAAAGGGGUGGGUAAACCAUUGAAAAUUUGCCGUGAUUGGGAUCGGAAAUUGCAAUUAUUUUCCGUGAACGAGGAAUUCCAAGUAAGUGCGAGUCAUCAGCUCGCGUUGAUUACGUCCCUGCCCUUUGUACACACCGCCCGUCGCUGCCCGGGACUGAGCCAUUUCGAGAAAUUUGGGGACCGUUGAUUUAAUUUUUUUAAAUUACUUUUGAUGGAAACCAAUUUAAUCGCAGUGGCUUGAACCGGGCAAAAGUCGUAACAAGGUAGCUGUAGGUGAACCUGCUGCUGGAUCAUUACUUU